UACGGAAGGUCCGGGCGUUAUCCGGAUUUAUUGGGUUUAAAGGGAGCGUAGGCCGGAGAUUAAGCGUGUUGUGAAAUGUAGACGCUCAACGUCUGCACUGCAGCGCGAACUGGUUUCCUUGAGUAGUGCAGAGGUAGGCGGAAUUCCCGGUGUAGCGGUGGAAUGCGUAGAUAUCACGAAGAACUCCGAUUGCGAAGGCAGCUCACUGGAGCGCAACUGACGCUGAAGCUCGAAAGUGCGGGUAUCGAACAGG
rnacentral:rRNA from 1 species